rnacentral:tRNA from 1 species
GCCACCUUAGCUCAGUCGGUAGAGCGUCUCACUCGUAAUGAGAAGGCCGCGAGUUCGAUUCUCGCAGGUGGCU